rnacentral:rRNA from 1 species
GACGAACGCUGGCGGCGUGCUUAACACAUGCAAGUCGAGCGGUAAGGCCCUUUCGGGGUACGACGAGCGGCGAACGGUGAGUAACACGUGGGUGGACCUGCCCUCAGCUCUGGGAUAAGCCCGGGAAACGUGGUCGUAAUACCGGAUAUGACUCCACUGACGCAUGUUGUGGGGGUAGGAAAGGCCUUGUGCGGACUGAGGAUGGGCCCGACGGCCUAUCAGCUUGUUGGUGGGGUGAUGGCCUACCAAGGC